rnacentral:rRNA from 1 species
UACGUAGGGUGCGAGCGUUAAUCGGAAUUACUGGGCGUAAAGUGUGCGCAGGCGGCCGAGCAAGUCGAGUGUGAAAGCCCCGAGCUUAACUUGGGAACUGCGCUCGAAACUACUUGGCUAGAGUGUGGCAGAGGGAGGUGGAAUUCCACGUGUAGCGGUGAAAUGCGUAGAGAUGUGGAGGAACACCAAUGGCGAAGGCAGCCUUCUGGGCCAACACUGACGCUCAUGCACGAAAGCGUGGGGAGCAAACAGG